AGAAGGUCCCAAGGGUCGGGCUGUUCGCCCGUUAAAGCGGUACAUGAGCUGGGUUUAGAACGUCGUGAGACAGUUCGGUCUGUAUCCGUCGUGGGCGUUGGAGUAUUGAGGGGAGCUGCUCCUAGUACGAGAGGACCGGAGUGGACUGACCACUCGUGUACCGGUUGUUCCGCCAGGGGCAUUGCCGGGUAGCGACGUCGGGAAGGGAUAACCGCUGAAAGCAUCUAAGUGGGAAGCCCCCCCCAAGAUGAGUACUCCCAGACUUUGUUCUCGGAAGGGCCGUGCGAGACGAGCACGUUGAUAGGCGGCAAGUGGAAGCGUGGUAACACGUGCAGCUGAGCCGUACUAAUGGCCCGAGAGGCUUGACCAG
rnacentral:rRNA from 1 species